rnacentral:pre_miRNA from 1 species
GUAAUGUUUCUUGCUCAAAUGAGUAUUCCAACCACAGCAGCAGCACGAGGACUUUUUAAGCACUAAGGCCAGUGCAAGUAGCAGGGCGAGAGAGAUCCGCGACAUCGAUUUCAUCAAUCAUCAUCUACACCAACGGAUCUGAUAAAAAGUAUCGAAUCUUCUCUCGAGAAGUUCCUGAAGCUGCUGUUCUGAGAUGCUCAUUUGAGCAAGCAAUAUUAU